GGUAACAAGGUUUCCGUAGGUGAACCUGCGGAAGGAUCAUUA
rnacentral:rRNA from 2 species